rnacentral:miRNA from 1 species
GAUUGGUGUUUAUGGCGUUGAUAUUCGACGUCAUAUACAAGAUCAAGUUUGGUGUUUCUAUAUGACGUCGAUAUUCAUCGUCAUAAACACCAUCAAAUUUGAUGUUUAUGUCCUCGAUAUACGACUUCAUAAACAACACCAAGUUUGGUGUUUAUGACGUUCGAUAUGCGACGUAAUAAACACCAUCAACUUUGGUGUUUAUGACGUCGAUAUUCGACGUCAUAAACACCAUCAAGUUUGGUCUUUAUGACGUCGAUAUACAACGUCAUAAACACCAUC